rnacentral:rRNA from 1 species
UACGUAGGCAGCUAGCGUUGUUCGGAAUUACUGGGCGUAAAGCGAGUGUAGGCGGUUUGCCAAGUCCGUUGUGAAAUCUCCCGGCUCAACUGAGAGGGUGCGGCGGAAACUGGCAGGCUAGAGUACGGAAUGGGAGAGUGGAAUUCCUGGUGUAGCGGUGAAAUGCGUAGAUAUCAGGAGGAACACCGGUGGUGAAGACGGCUCUCUGGACCGUUACUGACGCUGAGACUCGAAAGCGUGGGGAGCAAACAGG